GACGAACGCUGGCGGCGUGCUUAACACAUGCAAGUCGAACGGAAAGGCCCUGCUUGCAGGGUCCUCGAGUGGCGAACGGGUGAGUAACACGUGGGUGAUCUGCCCUGCACUUCGGGAUAAGCCUGGGAAACUGGGUCUAAUACCGGAUAGGAGCCAUUUUUAGUGUGAUGGUUGGAAAGUUUUUUCGGUGUAGGAUGAGCUCGCGGCCUAUCAGCUUGUUGGUGGGGUAAUGGCCUACCAAGGCGGCGACGGGUAGCCGGCCUGAGAGGGUGGACGGCCACAUUGGGACUGAGAUACGGCCCAGACUCCUACGGGAGGCAGCAGUGGGGAAUAUUGCACAAUGGGCGCAAGCCUGAUGCAGCGACGCCGCGUGGGGGAUGACGGCCUUCGGGUUGUAAUCUCCUUUCGCUAGGGACGAAGCUUUUUGUGACGGUACCUAGAUAAGAAGCACCGGCUAACUACGUG
rnacentral:rRNA from 1 species